UACGUAGGGUGCAAGCGUUAAUCGGAAUUACUGGGCGUAAAGCGCACGUAGGUGGCUUGAUAAGCCGGAUGUGAAAGCCCCGGGCUCAACCUGGGAACGGCAUUUGGAACUGUGAAGCUAGAGGACAGGAGAGGAAGGUAGAAUUCCCGGUGUAGCGGUGAAAUGCGUAGAGAUCGGGAGGAAUACCAGUGGCGAAGGCGGCAUUCUGGACUGAUACUGACACUGAGGUGCGAAAGCGUGGGUAGCAAACAGG
rnacentral:misc_RNA from 1 species